UAUGAUCUAGGCCUGUUCUGACCGCAGUGGAUCUCUUCUGUGUUUUUUGAAUCCCAUGUUGGACCGAGCCUCUCCAAGCUUUGGGCCUUCAGAAGAUGCUGAUGAGAUCUGCAGCGACCAAACCAGAGGAGGAUCAUCUGAGCUGCUGACCUUCACAAAGAACUCUGUGGUCGUCCUAAAGCAGAACUCCUGUGAGGAACCGGGACAUCCAGGAUGGUGAGGAGCUUCCCAGUCCCCACCUGAGGACGGCACAGAGAAAGACUGGAACAGAAAGCACACGGACAGGUUGAACAUGGAAACAGUGAUCUAGCAGCCGGA